ACGGCAGCCGUGAUGAGUGCUGGCACAGA
rnacentral:piRNA from 1 species